GGGUCAGUAGGUUGGUCGUGCCACCGGUACGUACUGGUCUCACUGAUUCCUCCUUCCUGAAGAACCGUAAUGCCAUUAAUUUGGUGUUGCGGGGAAACAGGACUGUUACUUUGAAAAAAUUAGAGUGUUUAAAGCAAGCUAACGCUUGAAUACAUUAGCAUGGAAUAAUGAAAUAGGACGUUGAUCCUAUCUUGUUGGUUUCUAGGAUUGACGUA
rnacentral:rRNA from 1 species